rnacentral:lncRNA from 1 species
CAAAUCCCGAGGAGAUCAUCAAGUGCGUCUCCUCCGCCACAACCUCAAAAGUCGGAGCGGCGGAUUAGAUCAUCAAGUGCGCCUCCUCUGCCUCAGCCUCCGACACCUGUGGUGGUGGAGCAGCAGCUCAACCACCUCCUCCUCCCGAGGAGAUCAGCGAGCGUGGACGAGCUGCAAAAUGAUCUUCCUAGGGUUACGAUAUUGAGAAGAGGACAGUCGCUAGACACAAUUGAUGCAACCAGACUGAAGAGAGAUUUAGAGGAGGAAACCACAGGAGGAGGAGGCCUUGUGAGGGAUGAUGUGUACGCUGGAUCGGCGUUUUUUGUAUCGCCUUCACCCAGCUCUCUUCCUU